AUUGAACGCUGGCGGCAGGCCUAACACAUGCAAGUCGAACGAGUGGCGGACGGGUGAGUAAUGUCUGGGAAACUGCCCGAUGGAGGGGGAUAACUACUGGAAACGGUAGCUAAUACCGCAUACCAUCGGAUGUGCCCAGAUGGGAUUAGCUAGUAGGUGGGGUAACGGCUCACCUAGGCGACGAUCCCUAGCUGGUCUGAGAGGAGGACCAGCCAAACUGAAACUAGAACACGGUCCAGACUCCUAGGGGAGGCAGCGGUGGGAAAUAUUGAACAAUGGGGGAAGGCCUGAGGCAGCCAGGCCGCGUGUAUGAAGAAGGCCUCCGGGUUGUAAAGUACUUUCACCGAGGAGGCGUUACUCGCAGAAGAAGCACCGGCUAACUCCGUGCCAGCAGCCGCGGUAAUA
rnacentral:rRNA from 1 species